rnacentral:rRNA from 1 species
GAUGAACGCUGGCGGCGUGCCUAACACAUGCAAGUCGAACGGAAGGGCCCGGAUCUUGCUGCUCUCACGUUUGGGGCGGGCGUGGGUGUAACACGUGUAAAACCCCCCUGUAUGUCGGGGAACACCUCGGGAAACCGUAUAUAACACCGGAUAAUCUUUUGAAACGCAGUGGUGAAAAGUGAAAGUCGGUCUUUCUGUCACUUAUAGAUGGAUCCCCGCUGGAUUGGCUAGUUGGUAAGGUAACGGGUUACCACGGCAACGAUGCAUAGCCGACCUGAGAGGGUGUUCGGCCACACUGGAACUGAGCCACGGUCCAGACUCCUACGGGAGGCAGCAGUAGGGAAUCUUCCGCAAUGGGCGAAAGCCUGACGGAGCAACGCCGCGUGAGUGAUGAAGGUCUUCGGAUCGUAAAACUCUGUUAUUAGGGAAGAACAUAUGUGUAAGUAACUGUGCACAUCUUGACGGUACCUAAUCAGAAAGCCACGGCUAACUACGUG